UGGGAUUAAAGCAGAAUCAGAAUAGUCCUAAAAAUCGUAAUUAUUAAUAAAUUCAUUAUAUUGUCAGUUGACGUAGUUCAGAUUCAGUAAGCCCGAAUUUUUUUCAAAAAUCAUAAUUAAUGCGAUUGGAGAUCUUCUAUCAGUAGUUCAAGAAAGAUGAUCGUGUGCUUAACUUCAUGUCUUUAAUAAAAUUGUCCAGCAGCCUUGCAAUUCUUGUCAGUCGCAAUUUUACUUUAUAAAUAUAAGAAUACGAUGAAAUGCAAGGAUUUGACAGCUUUAGGAUUAUUUUACUCAUUUAUUUUUAUUUUCGAAUUAUUCACUAUGCUUUAGAUUAUUAUAGCGUAUUAUUAUUAAUAUCACACUGUUAUUGGUAUACAGAUUUUAACAAAUAUGAAAAUAUUAGGAUGAUAUAAUCCUAGACAAAGUCGAAUAAUAGAUGAGAGAAUGUGAUUUAUGUUAUUGCUGCUUAUUUGUGAAAUCAGAGAGCAUUUUUUACUGUAUUGUUCCGAGUAUGAGCUGACCCCGCAUAGAACUAAGUCGGAGACAGUAUUUUAGGAUCUUUUUCUUAGUUACCUGUACAUAAAACGGGUUCUGAACUGAAACAAUACAGUAUACAUUCACUUUUGAGAAAUAAUUUCGGGCAAUUCUGCAACAUAAAAUAUAAGUGUGCAUAUAACUAUGUGCACUUCAAAAUAUACGUUUAAUUGCUAAUUUUUCAAUUUUUUGUGUGCCCAUCACAUACA